rnacentral:rRNA from 1 species
UAGGUUAACGAGGCGAACCGGGGGAACUGAAACAUCUAAGUACCCCGAGGAAAAGAAAUCAACCGAGAUUCCCCCAGUAGCGGCGAGCGAACGGGGAGCAGCCCAGAGUCUGAAUCAGCUUGUGUGUUAGUGGAACGGUCUGGAAAGUCCGACGGUACAGGGUGAUAGUCCCGUACACCAAAAUGCACAGGUUGUGAACUCGAAGAGUAGGGCGGGACACGUGGUAUCCUGUCUGAAUAUGGGGGGACCAUCCUCCAAGGCUAAAUACUCCUGACUGACCGAUAGUGAACCAGUACCGUGAGGGAAAGGCGAAAAGAACCCCGGCGAGGGGAGUGAAAAAGAACCUGAAACCGUGUACGUACAAGCAGUGGGAGCACCUUCGGGUGUGACUGCGUACCUUUUGUAUAAUGGGUCAGCGACUUAUAUUCUGUAGCAAGGUUAACCGUAUAGGGGAGCCGCAGGGAAACCGAGUCUUAACUGGGCGUUAAGUUGCAGGGUAUAGACCCGAAACCCGGUGAUCUAGCCAUGGGCAGGUUGAAGGUUGGGUAACACUAACUGGAGGACCGAACCGACUAAUGUUGAAAAAUUAGCGGAUGACUUGUGGCUGGGGGUGAAAGGCCAAUCAAACCGGGAGAUAGCUGGUUCUCCCCGAAAGCUAUUUAGGUAGCGCCUCGUGAACUCAUCUUCGGGGGUAGAGCACUGUUUCGGCUAGGGGGUCAUCCCGACUUACCAACCCGAUGCAAACUACGAAUACCGAAGAAUGUUAUCACGGGAGACACACGGCGGGUGCUAACGUCCGUCGUGAAGAGGGAAACAACCCAGACCGCCAGCUAAGGUCCCAAAGUCAUGGUUAAGUGGGAAACGAUGUGGGAAGGCACAGACAGCCAGGAUGUUGGCUUAGAAGCAGCCAUCAUUUAAAGA